UGCCGAGUCGUCUAGUGGUAGGACAGCGGACUCUGGAUCCGUACGCGAGGGUUCAAAUCCUUCCUCGGCAGCCA
rnacentral:tRNA from 1 species